rnacentral:rRNA from 1 species
AUUGAACGCUGGCGGAAUGCUUUACACAUGCAAGUCGAACGGCAGCACGGGGGCAACCCUGGUGGCGAGUGGCGAACGGGUGAGUAAUACAUCGGAACGCGCCCAGUCGUGGGGAUAACGUAGCGAAAGUUACGCUAAUACCGCAUACGAUCUACGGAUGAAAGCGGGGGACCGUAAGGCCUCGCGCGAUUGGAGCGGCCGAUGUCAGAUUAGGUAGUUGGUGAGGUAAAGGCUCACCAAGCCGACGAUCUGUAGCUGGUCUGAGAGGACGACCAGCCACACUGGGACUGAGACACGGCCCAGACUCCUACGGGAGGCAGCAGUGGGGAAUUUUGGACAAUGGGCGCAAGCCUGAUCCAGCCAUUCCGCGUGCAGGACGAAGGCCUUCGGGUUGUAAACUGCUUUUGUACGGAACGAAAAGGCUCUGGUUAAUACCUGGGGCUCAUGACGGUACCGUAAGAAUAAGCACCGGCUAACUACGUGCCAGCCGCCGCGGUAA